rnacentral:rRNA from 1 species
UGGGGAAUUUUGGACAAUGGGGGAAACCCUGAUCCAGCCAUCCCGCGUGUGCGAUGAAGGCCUUCGGGUUGUAAAGCACUUUUGGCAGGAAAGAAACGUCAUGGGUUAAUACCCCGUGAAACUGACGGUACCUGCAGAAUAAGCACCGGCUAACUACGUGCCAGCAGCCGCGGUAAUACGUAGGGUGCAAGCGUUAAUCGGAAUUACUGGGCGUAAAGCGUGCGCAGGCGGUUCGGAAAGAAAGAUGUGAAAUCCCAGAGCUCAACUUUGGAACUGCAUUUUUAACUACCGGGCUAGAGUGUGUCAGAGGGAGGUGGAAUUCCGCGUGUAGCAGUGAAAUGCGUAGAUAUGCGGAGGAACACCGAUGGCGAAGGCAGCCUCCUGGGAUAACAAUGACGCUCAUGCACGAAAGCGUGGGGGGCAAACAGG